UACGUAGGGUGCAAGCGUUGUCCGGAAUUAUUGGGCGUAAAGAGCUCGUAGGCGGUCUGUCGCGUCGGCUGUGAAAACUUGGGGCUCAACCCCAAGCCUGCAGUCGAUACGGGCAGACUAGAGUGCGGUAGGGGAGACUGGAAUUCCUGGUGUAGCGGUGAAAUGCGCAGAUAUCAGGAGGAACACCGGUGGCGAAGGCGGGUCUCUGGGCCGUAACUGACGCUGAGGUGCGAAAGCGUGGGGAGCGAACAGG
rnacentral:rRNA from 1 species